rnacentral:rRNA from 1 species
UACGUAGGGUGCAAGCGUUAAUCGGAAUUACUGGGCGUAAAGCGUGCGCAGGCGGUGAUGUAAGACAGAUGUGAAAUCCCCGGGCUCAACCUGGGAACUGCAUUUGUGACUGCAUCGCUGGAGUACGGCAGAGGGGGGGAUGGAAUUCCGCGUGUAGCAGUGAAAUGCGUAGAUAUGCGGAGGAACACCGAUGGCGAAGGCAAUCCCCUGGGCCUGCACUGACGCUCAUGCACGAAAGCGUGGGGAGCAAACAGGAUAGAAACCC